rnacentral:rRNA from 1 species
UACGAAGGGGGGCUAGCGUUGCUCGGAAUGACUGGGCGUAAAGGGCGCGUAGGCGGAUGGCACAGUCAGAUGUGAAAUUCCCGGGCUUAACCUGGGGGCUGCAUUUGAUACGUGUUGUCUGGAGUGAGGAAGAGGGUCGUGGAAUUCCCAGUGUAGAGGUGAAAUUCGUAGAUAUUGGGAAGAACACCGGUGGCGAAGGCGGCGACCUGGUCCUUGACUGACGCUGAGGCGCGAAAGCGUGGGGAGCAAACAGG